GAACGAGACUUUAACCUGCUAAAGAGCCAGGCUAGCUUUGGCGGGUCGCCGGCUUCUGAGAGGGACUAUCGGCUCAAGCCGAUGGAAGUUUGAGGCAAUAACAGGUCUGUGAUGCCCUUAGAUGUUCUGGGCCGCACGCGCGCUACACUGACAGAGCCAACGAGUUCAUCACCUUGUCCGAAAGGUCUGGGUAAUCUUGUGAAACUCU
rnacentral:rRNA from 1 species